GCGCGAGUGGCUCAGGGGUGGAGUACAACCUUGCCAAGGUUGGGGUCGCGGGUUCGAAUCCCGUCUCGCGCUCUA
rnacentral:tRNA from 10 species